CUUUAUCUUCCCGACCAGGAAAGAAAGUUAGCAGCAGUUGAUCAGCUGAAGUUACGCCACAAUCUUCCACUUCCACCCCAAAACUUUGAAACCCUAAAGUAAAAAUUAUUCCUUUCCUCCAACUCAUAACCACUCACCCAAAAUUCAUAUCUAUCCAUCUAGGCAGGGAAGAGAGAGAAGAUAAUGACAAUCAAUGGUGUUUCCUUUGCUCAAAAAGAUUUCAAUUAUGGAUCCUAGCUGAAGAACCCACAAGGGAAAGACCCACAUUGCUGGAAAUUGUUUUCUGCUGAUGGGAAAGGCAGAAAAUUUGCAGCAUUUGGAGGGUACAACAUAUGAUGCUCAAGGCACAACCCCUGCUGCAGGGAGUACUAGUAGCUGCACUAGUGUUAGGAAUUUGGUGACCUUGAGAUGUGUUCUUGCUUUGGUUCUUGGUUUUGGGGUGCUUUUGUCUGCUGUUUUUUUGUUGCCAUUCUUUCAUUUUGGAGAUCGUCAAGAUCUGGAUCUGGAUUAUCAAGGUUAUGACGUCAUCGCAAGUUUUAUGCUGAAUAAAUCAGCUUCUUAUCUCUCAGACUGUAAGUUGCAACUAGAGAAUGAUAUUUUUGAUGAGAUUCCCUUCUCCAAUACUAAGGUGGAAAUAAUAAGCUUAGAGCCAGCUGGACCAAACACGACGAAGGUUGUGUUUGCGGUUGAAUCUGAUGCAACGACACGGAGUUUAAUAAGAGAACAUUUUGUGUAUCUAAUCUCGAAUCAGUCAGCUCUUACCUUGACUGCGCCUUUGUUUGGGGAUACCUUCUCGUUCGACGUCGUCAAAUUUAAAGGAGGGAUUACUGCCAGUCCAGACCAGAAGGCAUUCCUUUUGCAGAGUGUUAAGAUUCCAUUCAACUUUACCUUGAACUUCUCCAUUGAUGUACUCCUCAAAAAUUUCGACGAACUCACGAGCCAACUCAAAGUGGGCUUACGCUUAACUCCAUACGAGAAUUUGUAUAUUCGGCUCACUAAUUUGAAAGGGUCCACUGUACGUCCGCCUACAACAGUUGAGUCGCAAGUCGUGUUGGCUGUGGGCAUGAACCCUUCAAGAUUAAAGCAAUUGGCUCAAACUAUCACUGGUUCACACUCUAAGAAUCUUGGUCUGAACAAUACCGAAUUUGGUCGGGUUAAGCAAGUUCGUCUCUCCUCAAUCUUACAACACUCCCUCGGCAAUGACAAGCGAAGUCCUUCACCAUCACCUUCUCCUUCUCAAUCCCCAAUGUCGAAAUCCCACCACCACCACCACCACCAUCACCCUGCUCCUGCUGUCUCACCUUCUCCAUCGACAGCUCAUGGCAGGUCUUUCAGUGGGAUAGGAUCACCGGUACCUACGCCUGCAUCAGCUCCUGUAAAAUCAACGGAGCCUCCGUGCCCUUUUGGUCACAAUAACUGGUAUCCGUGGAAGCACAAGCAUCCUCGGAUGGCACCUACUGCACCACCAGUUUAUGCACCAUACAUUGCUCCAUCAUGGCCAAAGCAAAUGCAUAAGCCAGCACCAAGAAUUGCUCCAGCUACCGCUGAACGGCCAUCUCCUAGUGUAGCUCAUACUCAUAACCGGGCCCCCUCACCAAGUGAACAUCGUGCUAGGCCUCUGGACGUGAUGUCAAUAACAUCACCCUCUCCAUCUCCAUCUUCUGCAAAAAUGUUCUCCCUCAAAUCAUGGAUUCUGCUGUUAUUUACAUUGCUCGGGAUGGCUUUGUAGCUGCAGAAAGCGUCAGGGCUCGUUUUGGUUAGAGCAGGUGGAAACAACACUCUGACCCAAUCAUAUGCCACGGCUUGAAUUAUUCUCAUGGUUAAGUGUUGGAAAAUGCAGAUUUAUUGCUGAAUUUGGAAGAUUUUAUCAUUCUGUUGAGUAUGUCCACAUCGGUGCAUAAAUCGAGCGGGAGGACUUAGACAAGGGUUGAAGUAAUGGUUCGAAACAACGGUCAUGAAGCUGAAGUUAUGACAUCGAAGACGGAGGCCAAUCCCGGACGACGCUUCUAUCGUUCCCGUGUAUGGAAGAAUGAUGAUUGUAAAUGCUUUCGUUGGAUUGAUCCCUCUUUGUUACCGAAUCAAGAGAUAUUUUCAAAAUUUGAAGAUGGAGAGGGAUAGCAUGGAAGAGCAAUUGAAAAAAAGAAUUGUUAUGCAGGAUAUCAUUCAAGAGAAAGUCUGUAAAAAAAAACUAAUGAAUUUGAAUCACUCCAAAUUGUUGCUGAAACUUUGCAUCGUCAAAAAGCUGAAAUUUCAAGGUCGUCGUUGGAUUUUUAUGUAUCGUCAUUUGGCUACUUAUCUAGCUUAUUGUAAUAGCUUUGGAAGUUGAAGUCCAACGUAAUACACUACUAAACAAUGAAUUUUUGUAGUGAUUUUGUCAUAUGAAUGCAUUGAGUAAUGAGUUCAACUUUAAGGUUUUGCUUA